UAACACAUGCAAGUCGAGGAGCAGCAUGGUCUUAGCUUGCUAAGGCCGAUGGCGACCGGCGCACGGGUGAGUAACACGUAUCCAACCUGCCGUCUACUCUUGGACAGCCUUCUGAAAGGAAGAUUAAUACAAGAUGGCAUCAUGAGUCCGCAUGUUCACAUGAUUAAAGGUAUUCCGGUAGACGAUGGGGAUGCGUUCCAUUAGAUAGUAGGCGGGGUAACGGCCCACCUAGUCUUCGAUGGAUAGGGGUUCUGAGAGGAAGGUCCCCCACAUUGGAACUGAGACACGGUCCAAACUCCUACGGGAGGCAGCAGUGAGGAAUAUUGGUCAAUGGGCGAGAGCCUGAACCAGCCAAGUAGCGUGAAGGAUGACUGCCCUAUGGGUUGUAAACUUCUUUUAUAAAGGAAUAAAGUCGGGUAUGGAUACCCGUUUGCAUGUACUUUAUGAAUAAGGAUCGGCUAACUCCGUGCCAGCAGCCGCGGUAAUACGGAGGAUCCGAGCGUUAUCCGGAUUUAUUGGGUUUAAAGGGAGCGUAGAUGGAUGUUUAAGUCAGUUGUGAAAGUUUGCGGCUCAACCGUAAAAUUGCAGUUGAUACUGGAUAUCUUGAGUGCAGUUGAGGCAGGCGGAAUUCGUGGUGUAGCGGUGAAAUGCUUAGAUAUCACGAAGAACUCCGAUUGCGAAGGCAGCCUGCUAAGCUGCAACUGACAUUGAGGCUCGAAAGUGUGGGUAUCAAACAGGAUUAGAUACCCUGGUAGUCCACACGGUAAACGAUGAAUACUCGCUGUUUGCGAUAUACUGCAAGCGGCCAAGCGAAAGCGUUAAGUAUUCCACCUGGGGAGUACGCCGGCAACGGUGAAACUCAAAAGGAAUUGACGGGGGCCCGCACAAGCGGAGGAACAUGUGGUUUAAUUCGAUGAUACGCGAGGAACCUUACCCGGGCUUAAAUUGCAGAUGAAUUACGGUGAAAGCCGUAAGCCGCAAGGCAUCUGUGAAGGUGCUGCAUGGUUGUCGUCAGCUCGUGCCGUGAGGUGUCGGCUUAAGUGCCAUAACGAGCGCAACCCUUGUUGUCAGUUACUAACAGGUUCCGCUGAGGACUCUGACAAGACUGCCAUCGUAAGAUGUGAGGAAGGUGGGGAUGACGUCAAAUCAGCACGGCCCUUACGUCCGGGGCUACACACGUGUUACAAUGGGGGGUACAGAGGGCCGCUACCACGCGAGUGGAUGCCAAUCCCAAAAACCUCUCUCAGUUCGGACUGGAGUCUGCAACCCGACUCCACGAAGCUGGAUUCGCUAGUAAUCGCGCAUCAGCCACGGCGCGGUGAAUACGUUCCCGGGCCUUGUACACACCGCCCGUCAAGCCAUGGGAGCCGGGGGUACCUGAAGUGCGUAACCGCGAGGAGCGCCCUAGGGUAAAACUGGUGACUGGGGCUAAGU
rnacentral:rRNA from 1 species